UAGUGUUAUAUAACUUUUAAUGGAAAAUGUCAAAUAGAUACAAAAGUAUAAAUCAGGUUGGCAAGUGAAAUACAGGCCAAAAUUGGGCCCACCAGCUGUUUUUGCACAGCCCAAAUGUUAAGAAUGAUUUUUACAUUUUUAAAUAGUGAAAAGAUGUAAAAGGGUAAUAUCUAAUGACAUAAGAAAAGUAUGUGAAAUUCAGAUUUUAUUGUCCAAAAAGUUUGGAACACAGCCACAUGCACUGGUGCGUGGCCCCCUGGUGGCGGCUUCAUGCCACUACUGCCAAGUGGCAAGAGAGCCCCAUGGCUGGAAAAGCCAACAAUCUUUACCAUCUGCUCCAAGCCCUGCUUCACUCCCCUGUGUGUACCUAUCCUUGCAGCCUCAAAUUCCCGGCCAAUCUUGUUUCAUUUAUAGUUACUCCCAGCCCCACGGAUUCAAAGGAAAUCCCAGACAUCCUAUAAUUUCAUCUUCAUGUUGAAAUUUAAAAAGUUUGAAAAUUCACCAAGAUGUAAUAUAUAUGCACCAAACAUCAGAGCCCAAAAUAUAUGAAACAAACAUUGACAGAAUCAAAGGAAGAAAUGGAUAGUUCUACAGUAAGAGUAGGAGACUGCAGUAGCCCACUUUCAGUAACGGAUAGGACAACCAGACAGAAGAUCAGUCGCAAGACAGAACUUGAACAGCAUCAUACCAGCUGGACCUAACAGACACAACAGCAGUACACACGUUUUUCUCAAGUGCAAAUGGACCUUUCUCUAGGAUAGACAGUAUGUUAGAUGACUAAACAAGUCAACAAAUUUCAAAAGACUGAGGAAAUAAAAUAUCUUUUCUGGCCACAGUGGGAUGAAACUAGAAAUCAGUAACAGACAAAAAACUGAAAAGUACACAAUUAUGUGAAAAUUAAACAACGCUCUCAACCAGCAGAUUAAUGGGGAACUCACAAGGGAAAUUAGAAAAUAUCUUGUGGUAAAUGAAAAAUGUAAUAUACAAAAAAACAGGUACAGUCAAAGCAGUGGUAGGAGGGAAAUUUGUAACUGUAAAUACACCUAUUAAACAAAUUAAGAUCUCAAGUCAACCCUAAAUUUACAUCUGAAAGAACUAGAAAAAGAAGAGCAAUCAACCCAAAGCCAGCAGAAUGGAGAUGAUUAUAAUAAUAAUAAAGAUUAGAGCAGAGACAAAAUAGAGAACAGAAAAGCAAUAGAGAAAAAUAAAUGAAACCAAGAGUUUGUUGAUAGCUAAGAGUGACUAAGAAAAACAACUAAAAACCAGGAGGAGACAUUACAACUGAUUUUACAGAAAUAAAAAGGAUUAAGAGUACUAUGAGCAAUUACAUAUCAAAGAAUUGGAUAACCUAGAUGAACUGGACAAAUUCUUAGAAACACACAGCCUAUCAAGAUUGAAUCAUGAAGAAAUGGAAAAUCUGAACAGACCUAUGCUAGUCAAGAGCAUGAAGUAGUAAAGAAAAGCCUCCCAAGAAAGAAAAGCCCAGGGUCAUAUGGGAAUUCUGGCAAACAUCUGAAGAAUUAAAUCAAUUCUCCUCAAACUCUUCCAAAAAACUGAAGAGGAAAGGACACUUCCAAAUGCAUUCUAUGAGGCCAUCAUUAUUCUGAUACCAAAACCAGACAAAGACACUAUAAGAAAAAAACACCACACAUCAGUAUUCCUGAUCAAGAUUUUUUUAAAUCAAUAUUCAACAAAAUACUGGCCAACAGGAUUCAGUGGGACAUUGAAAGGAUUACACAUCAUGGCCAAGUAAGAUUUACAGCUGGUAUGCAAAGAUGUUUCAACAUGCUCAAGUCAAUAAAUGUAAUGUCUAUUACAUUAAUAGAAUGAAGGAAAAAAAUGUGAUCUCCAUUGAUGGAGAAAAAGCAUUUGAGACAAUGUCAUGCCCUUUCAUGAUAAAAACUCAACAAUUGGGAAUAGAAGGAAACAACCUAAAAUAGAGGCCAUAUGAACAUCCCACUGUAAACAUCAUAUUCAAUAAGACUGAAAGGACUUUAAGAUCAAGAACAACACAGAAAUACCCUGUCUCACCACUUCUGUUUAACACAGUACUGGAGUCUUAGAGCAGUUAGGCAAGAAAAAGAAAUAAAAGGCAUCCAGACUGGAAAGGAAGAAGCAAAAUUAUCUGUUUGCAGAUGACAUGAUCUUAUAUGUAGAAAAUCCUAGUGUCCAUACAUAUACAAAAAAAAAUUUCAGUAACACUGCAGUUUACAAAAUCAACACAACAAAUCCAUGAUAUUUCUAUACAAUAACAAGCAAUCUCAAAAGGAAAUUUAAGAAAAUUCCAUUAUAAUAGUAACAAAAAAACUGAAAUAUUUAGGAAUAAACUUAAGGAAGCAAAAGACUUGUACUUGAAAACCAUAAAACACUGCUUAAAGAAAGUAAGGUCAACACAAAUAAAUAGAAAGCAAUCCCGUGUUUAUGGAUUGGAUACCUUAAGAUGUCCAUAGUCCAAAGCAAUCUAUAGAUUUCAUGCAAUCUCUAUCAGAAUAUCCCAGUGGCUUUUUUUUUUCCAUCCUGAAACUCAUAUGGAAUCUCAAGAGACCUCACACAGCCAAAAUCAUCUUGAAAGGGAACCAAGUAGGAGGUCUCUCACUUCCUUAUUUCAUAACUUACGACAAAGCUACAAUAAUCAAAAUGGUGUUGUAUUGAAACAAAGACAGUCAUGUAGACCAAUGGAACAGAAUAGCAAAUCCCCAAAUAAACCCUUGCACAUAUGGGUCAAAUGAUUUUUGAUGGUGCCAAGACCAUUCAAGGGAGAAAGGACAGUCUUUUCAACAAAUGGUGCUAGACAAGUGGACAUCCACAUGAAGCUAGAUCUACCUCACACCAUAUAUAAAAAUUAAAAUAGAUCAAAGGCCUAAACUAAGAGCUAAAACUAAAACAUUUAGGAGAAACAUAAGGGAAACUUUUAACAACAUUGGAUUUGGCAGUGAUUUCUUAGAUAUGACACCAGAGGCACACACAGGUAACUAAAAGAAAGAAACAACUUCUGUACAUCAAAGAACAAAACAGAGUGAAAGGCAAUCCACGGAAUGGGACAAAGUAUUUUAAAAUGAUAUAUCUGAAAAGGGUGAGGCAGUGAUUUCUUAGAUAUGACACCAGAGGCACACACAGGUAACUAAAAGAAAGAAACAACUUCUGUACAUCAAAGAACAAAACAGAGUGAAAGGCAAUCCACGGAAUGGGACAAAGUAUUUUAAAAUGAUAUAUCUGAAAAGGGUGAAUACCCAGAACAUAUAAAAACACACACCUGAUUGAAAAAUGGACAAAGAGCCCAAAUAGACAUUUCUCCAAAGACGACAUAUAAACGGCCAACAAACAGAUACUCAGCAUCACCAGUCAUUACGGAAAUGCAAAUCAAAAUCUCAGCAGGAUACCACUUCACACUCAUUAGGAUGGCAAUUAUUAAAAACAGGUGUUGGCAAGGAUGUGGCAAAACUGGAACCUUCAGUGGGAAUGUAAAAUGGUGCAGCCACCGUGUAAAACACUUAUGGCAGUGCCCUAAGAAAUUAAACAUAGGAUUGCCAUAUGAUUGAAAGCAGAGACUCAGAUAUUUGCACACCCAUGUUUACGGCAGCAAUAUUCACAAUAGCUAAAAGGUGGAAGCAACUCAAGUGUCCUCAACAGAUGAGUACACAAACAAAAUGUGGUCCAUCCAUAGAAUCAGCCUUAAAAAGAAAUCUUGACAUAUCCUACAACUUGAAUAAACCUUGAGGACAUUACGCUAAGUGAAAUAAGCCAGUCACAAAAGGACAAAUCCCUUCUGGUUCCACUCAUACGAGGUCCCUACAGAAGUCAAAUUAAAAGAGACAAAGGAGAACAGAGGCUGCCAGGGGCUGGUGGAUGGGGAAUAGGGAGUUGGUGCUUAAUGGGUACAGAGCUUCAGUUUUACAAGAUGACAAAAGUUCAUCUUGUAAAGUUGAACUUGUGGAUACGUGGUAGAGAAGGUUGCACAGUAUGAAUGUAUUUAAUGCCACUAAAUUGCACACUUAAAAUAGGUAAGAUGGUAAAUUUCACGUGUAUUUUAACAUGUCAAAUUCUUUUAAAUGACAUUAGAAUUGACUACAUAGGUUAGAUAAUAAAAACCAACUUGCCUUCAUCUGUGCAAGUUUCUCAAAUGAUUAUCAAAUAAAAAUGAAAUUUCCAUGCAAAAACGAGACAGUUGAGGUGUCUCUUCUAUUUGACACAGAUGUCCUCAUUUUUUUUGCUCUCCCUUACUUAG
rnacentral:lncRNA from 1 species